CUUCCCUUGGCCUGCCGUUUUUUCGUUCUCUCUCCUCAUUUCCUAAUUUUUUUUCAUCUUCAUCUCCUUUCCAAUCUUCAUGUCCUUUCUUUGAUUGCGAUUACAUUUGUUCUUGAAAAAAAUUACCGAACAUCGAAAUUCUUCCACCAUCUCCUUCCAUGUUUGUGGUUCACAAAAGAUGGAGAAACAAAAGCUUUGAACCAUCUCCAUAUUUUCUCGAGAUGGUGAUACUAACAAGAUUUGAUGAUCUAUCUUCAAUCAAUAAGAUCGGUCUCCGGCGUUAGGAUCUCGGCGGCAGAAGAAUCAUAGAUCUAAAUGGGUUUGUCAUGGCCGUGAGAUUCAUUUCAUUCAAUGGAGUUGUCAAUUUGCUUAGCUUGGAUUUUUCUUACAUAUUUGUACUUUGAGUUAUUCAACUUUGUAAGAGGAGUACUAAUUUUAUAGAAACUCAGAUGUAUUAUUCUUGUACUUCGUAUUUGAUUAAUAAUAAUAAGAAAAGUUUAGUA